rnacentral:lncRNA from 1 species
AGAAGCAGGCUCCAUGCAGGGAGCCCAAUGUGGGACUCAAUCCCAGGUCUCCAGGAUCAGGCCCUGGGCCGAAGGCGGUGCUAAACCCCUGAGCCACCAGGGCUGCCCCUCAAGUCACAGUUUUAGAAGAAAACCAAAGAAUGUGAUCUAAGGUGCAUGCUGUGCUUGCCAGGGGUGUGGACGCAGAGUUCAAGCACAAAGAGCAGGCAUUGAUUUCAUACUUCUGAUAUGUAAGUUAGCUCAGUUGUACUUGGAUUCUGUGCUACCCUCUUCUUUCCAUAGGCUCCUUUUUCAAAGUAGGCCUCUCCCUGAACUUCCUCUGUAUAUAUCUGGUUAGCACUGUGGCCGUGUAUGCUCGGUCUCCCUAAUGGUUCAUCAUGAUGAUCAUGAGAAUUUAACCUGGCAAACUAGAACUCUUAACCUAUCUGAUAAAUGAAGAACUCAGAGCCUGAACCCAAGUUCAAAACAAGAUGCCAGAAGAAAAGAUCAAAGAGCUUAGAACAGAAUUCCAGCAAAAUUGAACACAGGAACACUGGUCGUCAAGUUACUCAUAAAUUUCAGGACCUCUUCCACUGCAUCUACUGGCAGAUAGAGGGCCAUGCCCACCAUCAUCUCUACCAGUGCCACCUCUAUGCGAAGGAGUUGUUCCUCCUCUUCCACUUCCUUUACCGGGAAUAAAUGGUAAACCAUCAUCACCACCACAAUCAUUUUUGUUCAAGGCCCUCCUCCUCCAUCACUACCUUUGUUGGGGGACCUUUCGCUCCAGGAUCAUCACUUGCUCUAACUUAAAGAAUGAAGCAGAAAUAAAUGUAUAAAACUAAACCUCA